rnacentral:miRNA from 1 species
GGUUUCUGCUAGAAGUCAUAGC